CAGUCGCCGCGGUAACACGUAGGUGGCAAGCGUUGUCCGGAAUUAUUGGGCGUAAAGCGCGCGCAGGUGGUUUAAUAAGUCUGAUGUGAAAGCCCACGGCUCAACCGUGGAGGGUCAUUGGAAACUGUUAAACUUGAGUGCAGGAGAGAAAAGUGGAAUUCCUAGUGUAGCGGUGAAACGCGUAGAGAUUAGGAGGAACACCAGUGGCGAAGGCGGCUUUUUGGCCUGUAACUGACACUGAGGCGCGAAAGCGUGGGGAGCAAACAGGAUUAGAUACCCGAGUAGUCCCUGUCUCUUAUAC
rnacentral:rRNA from 1 species